AAUCAACGCUGGCGGCGUGCCUCAGACAUGCAAGUCGAACGAUUAAAGCUCUCUUCGGAGAGUGCAUAGAGUGGCGCACGGGUGAGUAACACGUAAGUAAUCUACCUUCGAGUGGGGAAUACCGUCCGGAAACGGACGCUAAUACCGCAUAAUGCAGCGGCAUCGCAAGAUGACAGUUGUUAAAGAUUUAUCGCUUGAAGAGGAGCUUGCGGCGGAUUAGCUAGUUGGUAAGGUAAUGGCUUACCAAGGCUACGAUCUGUAACCGGUCUAAGAGGACGGUCGGUCACACUGACACUGAAUAACGGGUCAGACUCCUACGGGAGGCAGCAGUCGGGAAUUUUGGGCAAUGGGCGAAAGCCUGACCCAGCAACGCCGCGUGAAGGAUGAAGUAUUUCGGUAUGUAAACUUCGAAAGAAUGGGAAGAAUAAAUGACGGUACCAUUUAU
rnacentral:rRNA from 1 species